rnacentral:rRNA from 1 species
ACUCAAAGGAAUAGACGGGGGCUCACACAAGCGGUGGAGCAUGUGGCUUAAUUCGAGGCAACGCGAAGAACCUUAUCCUGGAUUUGACAUGGUCGGAUUAGCUGGCUGAAAGGUCAGUGACGCCUUCGGGUGGAACGAUCACAGGUGCUGCAUGGCUGUCGUCAGCUCGUGUCGUGAGAUGUCGCGUUAAGUCGCUAAACGAGCGAAACCCCUGUCCCUAGUUGCCAGCGCGUCAUGGCGGGGACUCUAGGGAGACCGCCGGCGUCAAGCCGGAGGAAGGCGGGGAUGACGUCAAGUCCUCAUGGCCUUUAUGUCCAGGGCUGCACACGUGCUACAAUGGCACACACAAUGGGAUGCCAAGUCGCGAGACGGAGCGAAUCCCACAAAUUGUGCCCCAGUUCGGAUUGCAGGCUGCAACUCGCCUGCAUGAAGCCGGAAUCGCUAGUAAUCGCCGGUCAGCAUUACGGCGGUGAAUGUGUUCCUGAGCCUUGCACACACCGCCCGU